rnacentral:lncRNA from 1 species
AGCUCAAAUAGUUGAGAACCUCCUCUUCCUCCCUCCUCCCUCCCUCUCUCACUUCCUCCUUUUUCUCCUCUGCCUCCCUUUCUCCCCUUUCUCUCGUUUCUGCAGUCUUUCUUCCAGGUUCUGGGCUAAAGACGGGACAUAUCAUUGUGAACAAGACAAGCCUUCAUGCUCCUGGCGUCCACAAGGUCAUAGUGGAGAAAUGGAGACAGGAAAGGACCUUACAGAGAACACAGGAUGCAUCUGAAAAUCCUGGACCCCGCUAGAAGGAUGGGACUUGGUGGGAGAGGACGGUGGUUCAGCUGGUGGGAACAGCAUGCAUCAGAAACCUGGGUGCAUCGCAGGGUUUGGCCGCAUCCGGGAGUGGUGAGAAUUUCUGCGUGAUGGGCGCCCGUGAUGCCCCGCUGCGCAGCACUAGGAGGAGCCAAACCUGGAAGGGGCUGGGUCGGAUUUGACAGGGGAGGGGCACCUGGAUUUUAUCCUGGAGCCUGUGGGUGUUUAAAGGUACGUGCAGUGAUGUUGGAGGGAGGCGGGGCGACUUCAAUAGCAUCUUUAUCAGUCCUGAUGCCGUAGCCCCUAGAUCUAGCUUGCUUCGUUGCCACCUGCCUGCUAUUCACAAAUGGAAAUCUGGGCGAGGAACAUGUUUGCCGACUCCCGUCUCUUAAAUCCUGGGAAGAGAGAGAACAUUCAUAAUCACUGAGCCAAGGAGCGGCCGGCACUUUCAGAUGUCCUGUUAUUUACCUUGACCAUGACGUUGCCAAGGUCACCAAUGGGGAAAGGAGGCCUUGAGAAGUCGAAUGGCCUCCAAAGUGGCCCUAGGGUCCAGCCUCGGUCCUCUACACCCAGCCAGGUGACCGUGCAGCCAAGUGACAGGCAGAUCAGGAACGUCAGGCUCUGUCCUUUCUCUGGUUCCCUUGCUCGUGCAAAGAGAAACAGAGAGAAGCAUCAUGGGCUUGCCUUGAACCAGCAAAACCCUCCUGAGCCGGGGAAAUGUUGCCCUGGCAGGCAGCUGGUAGCUCUGCCAGCCCACAGCCCUCAUCCUACCGAAGUCUGUCCUGGCGAGGGGAGAUGUUUCGAAGUUUCCCAUUUCUCUCUGAUGUCAGAGAUGUUUUAACCAGCUGGGGGCAGAAUUACAUUCUGGAAAUUACAGGGGAUGAGGGGAAAAAAAAAAUAGGGACUAUUACAAAUACAGUAGUCUUUUAGAGUCUGAGCCUCACUAUUAAUGCAUUAUAAAACAACUUAAAAAAUCCUAUCAGGAGAAGUGAUGUUUGAAGCCACGUUAUAUUUUAAAAGUGUCAGGGCACAGGCGAGUUUACAUGUGACAAGCAAUUUAAAUAUUUCAAUAUAUUUUAUAUCUUUAAAAAAAAAUGGCCAUGAUCAAAAACCCUAGAUGAAACUCUUUCAUUUGGUACCUGGGUAGGAAAACAUUGAGUUACAAAUCUUUUUGACAAUGUGGAUUCUGGGUGUUCCAUAACCAUUUUUAAUCUUCUGAAAUAUUUCAUUGCCUAGGAAAGCAAAUCAGGGUCGGGGGUAUUGUGCGCCUUUAACUUCAUUUGUCUUAACCCCCUUUCACUUUCUUGUUCUGCUUUGAUGGUCUGAUUACUUCCCUACAUAAAUAUAAGCCAGAAUUCAUUCUGAGUCUAAGCCUUAUCGCUUUCUUCAGUGGCAAUGAGGGAUGCAGAGGGUCUUUUUUUCCCCCCCCGUGCUUCAAAGUGAAUUUAGUAGUGAAUGCCAUUGCAGAAAAGCCCAUUUAUUUAUCCCUACAACGGAGUCCCAUGCUCCGGCUCAGGUUCAGAUGGAACGAAGAUUUAUUAAGCACAUACUAUGAACCGGGCACCCUGCUAGGCAUGGCUCUGCUGCAGGGAAAAGGGCCUGGCUUGCCUGCAUCAGCUCUAACCCUGCUUGCUGCUUGCACCAGGAAAGAAUUACCUUGCCAGCUGCCCUCAAGGAGGGAGUGGGGAGCUGUCCAGCCUGUCUGAACCCAGCCCCCUGCCCAAGACCUGGUCCCUGGCAGUGAGAGGAGGGAGAGGCAGUCGAGCAGCGGUGACAGCAUAGGAAUUGGAAUCCCAGGAGGCAGGGCGGUGGCUGAUGGUUUUUUUUCUAUGCCUCGAAUU